rnacentral:snRNA from 1 species
UGUACCUGUACCUGUACCUAUAUACUGAUAUUGGAACAAUACAGAGAAGAUUUCUUUGGCCCAAGGUUGACACGAAAAUUCAUGAAGGAUUCUAUAUUUUC